GUGUCAGCAGCCGCGGUAAUACGAGGGGUGCAAACGUUAUUCGGAAUCACUGGGCGUAAAGGGUGUGUAGACGGCAAAGUAAGUCAAUUAUUAAAUCUUCUGGCUCAACCAGAAAUCUGUAAUUGAGACUGCUUAGCUUGAGGAUGGAAGAGAGAAGUGGAAUUCUUGGAGUAGCGGUAAAAUGCGUAGAUAUCAAGAGGAACACCGAUGGCGAAGGCAGCUUCUUGGUCCAUUUCUGACGUUGAGACACGAAAGCGUGGGGAGCAAACAGGAUUAGAUACCCUGGUAGUCC
rnacentral:rRNA from 1 species